CAGACGUGAGGCAGCAGGGAGGAAGAGGGGGCAAGGGACGAGAGUCUGAACCAGCCAAGGAGCGUGAAGGAUGACUGCCCUAUGGGUUGUAAACUUCUUUUAUAAAGGAAUAAAACGAGGCACGUGUGCCUUUUUGCAUGUACUUUAUGAAUAAGGAUCGGCUAACUCCGUGCCAGCAGCCGCGGUAAUACGGAGGAUCCGAGCGUUAUCCGGAUUUAUUGGGUUUAAAGGGAGCGUAGAUGGGUUGUUAAGUCAGUUGUGAAAGUUUGCGGCUCAACCGUAAAAUUGCAAUUGAUACUGGCAGUCUUGAGUACAGUUGAGGUAGGCAGAAUUCGUGGUGUAGCGGUGAAAUGCUUAGAUAUCACGAAGAACCCCGAUUGCGAAGGCAGCUUACUAAACUGUGACUGACAUUGAUGCUCGAAAGUGUGGGUAUCAAACAGGAUUAGAUACCCCAGUAGUC
rnacentral:rRNA from 1 species